UGACGACGCAAGCAGGAAAUCCCCGCGUAGGCCAGGCCGUCUCAUUUCAGGGGCCGCUCGGUUUAGCCCAGGUCGACCACGAAGGCUGGGUCCUCUGGAGGAUGCAGCCGACGAAAGGAGACACAUUGUUUGUUCAUGUGCUUUGCACAGGCAGCGCAGGAAUGACAGUAGAACAACAACUACUGCAUUAGCAAUUAUUUUAAGGGUCGACGAGCAAGAUGGUGAAGAAGUGAAGUUAAAUGUCGGACCUCGACCUUCAGGUGUUGGAGAUGUGAAGAAGAGUUCCUUUAGAGCCGUGGCAGUGCUUCUGGGUCUCCUGAGUUUCUUCCUUCUGACAGGACUCAUAACUUCGGUUUGCCUGUUCACCAAAGGCAUCUCACAGAGGGAAAUGGAGAUAAUCCUGUUACAGACCAGUUACACCAACCUGACUAAAGAAAGAGACAACCUCUUGAAAGGAGUUCAACACUUGGGCAAUGAACUAAAUAUUUGUCUCACAAAGAUACAAACAAAUGCGUUAUCCAACCAAAGACGGGCGUAUAAUGGCGUAUUUCAUGGACGGGUAAGAAGAGAUGGAAAUGGGUGGAUGGGACGCCGCUGACCAAAAGGUCGGAGCAGAGUUGAAGAGUUUUUUAAACCCUUUGGAGCCAAAUGGACAUCGGUUAAGAGAUGAAGAUGUAGAAAAGAACAGCUGUUAUUUGGAAAACAGCUAGAAUGAUGACCAGUGUGACCACAAAACACUUUGGAGAAGAAAUGUCCUUCAUAACUCCAAACCAAGCAUUCAAACUAACUAAACAAUGAGUUAGAAACAAGGAAAUACUCAAUACUUGGUUCUCUAGUUUAAGCUGAAGUUGACAAGGCAGUUUAACAUAAUGCUAAGCAAGCUACUCUCCAGGUAAAGUGUCCAAUUAAGUGUAAAUGCUCUGAAUUUGAAUAUGAAUAUCUAGUUCUGUGCUUCCUUUUAAACACUGAAUAUGAUGAGUAUUAUUAUUGACAACUCACCUAAAUCCAACCCUAAAUAAGAUGUAAUGAUAUUUCAAUUAUUCCAACAGAUCAUUAUUGCAUCCUGCUUUAAUUGUAUUUUCUAUUGGAAGUAUAAAAGCAUGUGGAACUUCUUCUGCUAAAGAAAGACAUAUUUUAAAUCACUGCUUAAUAAAUAUGUCCAUCCAUCCAUCCAUUGUCAAACCGCUUAUCCUGCACACAGGGUCGCGGGGGGGCUGGAGUCCAUCCCAGCCAACUUCGGGCGAUAGACAGGGUACAUCCUGGAUUGGUCGCCAGCCAAUCGCAGGGCUACACAGAGACAUAUAACCAUUCACACUCACACAUCUACGGGCAAUUUAGAGUCCCCAAUUAACCUGAUCCCCAGAGCAUGUCUUUGGACUGUGGGAGGAAGCCGGAGAACCCGGAGAGAACCCACGCAGACACGGGGAGAACAUGCAGACUCCACACAGAAAGGCCACUGGGCGGAAUCGAACCCAGGACCUUCUUGCUGUGAGGCAACAGUGCUAACCACCAUGCCACCGUGCCGCCCUCUUAAUAAAUAUGUGGUCAAUUUUAUGUUUCCUGCCCUAUUUUAACUUCUACUUCUUCUACAUACAAGUAUUGACAAGUAUUUUUGGGUUGAAUAUAGUUUUGACCCAGUUCUAUAAUUUUUUGGAAUAAACAUUUGCUUUCAUUCUUCACUUAAAUAUAUUUUUACAUAUUCGCUUUGUUAUAUGUUUAGGAUUUCAGAUAUAUAUUUUUAGAGUAUUUCCCUCCAGCUCAUACCUUUACAAACAGACAUGUAUAACAGACAUACUGAAGGUUUUGCAUAUAUACUGUGCUCAGUGGACAAAUAUAUAAAUGCCAUAACUGCCAUUUGACAAGGUUGUACAAUGUGCUUAAUUACUUGUUUGAUUUUUCCCCCCCACUGGGUUUCUGCCCAAGACUUGGUCGCUCAUCGUCAUAUUCUACUGCCUCCUCCUGGUUUCCUUUGUAUUUGAUGUGUCUUCCCUCUUUUGUUCCCUAUUUGUCAAGAGUGAGCUGAUAUUCUCCCCUAUUCAAUCAAUUCAGAGGAUGUCAAAUAGGGGAAUAAAUAGUUAUGCUGAAAGACAAUAUCCGACUCUCACUUAAAACUUUUUCACUUUACUGACUUACUAAUUUUAUGAAAUAAAAUAAACUGUUGGUACAUGCCAUAACCUCAUCUUCCCUUUACCUUUGUACGUAUGUGGUAUAACUCCUCAAACUAUCUCAACGG
ensembl:lncRNA